CAAGAGAUAACAUCCCAAAAUGGGGCGUAGUG
rnacentral:piRNA from 1 species